UGCAAGUCGAACGCGGGCACUUGUGCCCGAGUGGCGAACGGGUGAGUAGUACAUAAGUNACCUGGCCUUUACAGGGGGAUAACUGCUGGAAACGGCAGCUAAGACCGCAUAGGUAGGGACACUGCAUGGUGACCGUAUUAAAAGUGCUGCAAGGCACUGGUAGAGGAUGGACUUAUGGCGCAUUAGCUGGUUGGUGAGGUAACGGCUCACCAAGGCGACGAUGCGUAGCCGACCUGAGAGGGUGACCGGCCACACUGGGACUGAGACACGGCCCAGACUCCUACGGGAGGCAGCAGUAGGGAAUUUUCGGCGAUGGGGGGAACCCUGACCGAGCAACGCCGCGUGAAGGAAGAAGGAAUUCGUUCUGUAAACUUCUGUUAUAAAGGAAGAAAGACGGAUGGAGGAAAUGACAUCCGAGUGACGGUACUUUAUGAGAAAGCCACGGCUAACUACGUGCCAGCAGCCGCGGUAAUACGUAGGUGGCAAGCGUUAUCCGGAAUUAUUGGGCGUAAAGAGGGAGCAGGCGGCAGCAAAGGUCUGUGGUGAAAGACUGAAGCUUAACUUCAGUAAGCCAUAGAAACCGGGCAGCUAGAGUGCAGGAGAGGAUCGUGGAAUUCCAUGUGUAGCGGUGAAAUGCGUAGAUAUAUGGAGGAACACCAGUGGCGAAGGCGACGAUCUGGCCUGCAACUGACGCUCAGUCCCGAAAGCGUGCGGAGCAAAUAGGAUUAGAUACCCUAGUAGU
rnacentral:rRNA from 1 species